rnacentral:rRNA from 1 species
UACGUAGGGUGCGAGCGUUGUCCGGAAUUAUUGGGCGUAAAGAGCUCGUAGGCGGUUUGUCGCGUCGGCCGUGAAAACUUGGGGCUUAACCCCAAGCCUGCGGUCGAUACGGGCAGACUUGAGUUCGGCAGGGGAGACUGGAAUUCCUGGUGUAGCGGUGAAAUGCGCAGAUAUCAGGAGGAACACCGGUGGCGAAGGCGGGUCUCUGGGCCAUUACUGACGCUGAGGAGCGAAAGCGUGGGGAGCGAACAGG